AUUCAAUCGACGAGUCUCAAAUAGAACGAAACGCUAGUCUUAGAU
rnacentral:hammerhead_ribozyme from 1 species